rnacentral:lncRNA from 1 species
UCAAAUCCGCUUGGCUUCUGUCCCAGCCCAACCCAGGAGAGGAGGGGGAGAGGGAGGAGGGAGGAAGAUAUAUGGCUGCCGAUCUGAGUCCUGAGCACCAUUCAGAGCUGCCUUCCAGCGUGAGGUCCACCAGGUUCUCCUUCUUCUUCGCAAUGGGUCCCUCGCUCAUCCUCUGGGCUCUGCUGCCAUCCAUACUAUGCAAUGGAGCCAACGGCUUUGCAGGACGCUUGCAGCAGGGGAUACGGCGGCAGAUUCGACAAGCCAAUGAGGAGGCGAAGGUGGAGGAAGCUGGCUCUGUAAAGGACAGGAAUUCUGAUGGUCUCCUGGAUGCUGAGGAGCAGGUCACAGUCACCCAAGAAUUCUCUGGGACUGUCACUGAAGAAGAGAUUGGAGAGCUCAAUGCGGAUGAUGACCUAGACGCUGGUGACCCUGAU